GAGGUCGUGGGUCAGAGUUUAAUGGCCCCACUCAGUGUAGCCGUUGUCCAAAGUCUGUGUUUUCAGUCUCUCCAUGGAGUAUUAAAGAAGGAAGAGUUCCAGUUAGCCCCAAGAGCCCUCCAGCGCUGAGUUGGAAAGGCCUGGGACUAAAGAUGCUGCCACGAAGCCCGAACCUGCAUUUUUCCAUGGGUGCUGAGGAUCUGAACUCGGGGCGUUAUACUCUGAUGAAUGCAUUUUACUGACCGAGCCAUCUUCUCAGCUCCGCUUAAACAUUCCCCAAAGGAGUAAAUACAAACUGGCGGACACCAGUUUAUGAUCU